rnacentral:ncRNA from 1 species
GAUGCGUGUCCUUAAUAGAAACAGGUUCGGGGUGGAAUCUGGAGGUUGAAAAGCGGAUGCAAUUUCCGACACGUAUC